GAUGAACGCUGGCGGCGUGCCUAAUACAUGCAAGUCGAGCGAACAGACGAGGAGCUUGCUCCUCUGACGUUAGCGGCGGACGGGUGAGUAACACGUGGAUAACCUACCUAUAAGACUGGGAUAACUUCGGGAAACCGGAGCUAAUACCGGAUAAUAUAUUGAACCGCAUGGUUCAAUAGUGAAAGACGGUUUUGCUGUCACUUAUAGAUGGAUCCGCGCCGCAUUAGCUAGUUGGUAAGGUAACGGCUUACCAAGGCAACGAUGCGUAGCCGACCUGAGAGGGUGAUCGGCCGCACUGGAAGUGAGACACGGUCCAGGCUCCUACGGGAGGCAGCAGUAGGGAAUCUUCCGCAAUGGGCGAAAGCCUGACGGAGCAACGCCGCGUGAGUGAUGAAGGUCUUCGGAUCGUAAAACUCUGUUAUUAGGGAAGAACAAAUGUGUAAGUAAAUAUGCACGUCUUGACGGUACCUAAUCAGAAAGCCACGGCUAACUACGUG
rnacentral:rRNA from 1 species